rnacentral:rRNA from 1 species
AGCGAACGCUGGCGGCAGGCCUAACACAUGCAAGUCGAACGGAUCCUUCGGGAUUAGUGGCGGACGGGUGAGGAACACGUGGGAACGUGCCCUUUGGUUCGGAACAACUCAGGGAAACUUGAGCUAAUACCGGAUGUGCCCUUCGGGGGAAAGCGUCAUCGCCAUUGGAGCGGCCCGCGUCUGAUUAGCUAGUUGGUGAGGUAAAGGCUCACCAAGGCGACGAUCAGUAGCUGGUCUGAGAGGAUGAUCAGCCACAUUGGGACUGAGACACGGCCCAAGCUCGUGCGGGAGGCAGCAGUGGGGAAUCUUGCGCAAUGGGCGAAAGCCUGACGCAGCCAUGCCGCGUGAAUGAUGAAGGUCUUAGGAUUGUAAAAUUCUUUCACCGGGGACGAUAAUGACGGUACCCGGAGAAGAAGCCCCGGCUAACUUCGUGCCAGCCGCCGCCGUAACAC